CCUACGGGAGGCAGCAGUGGGGAAUAUUGGACAAUGGGGGGAACCCUGAUCCAGCCAUGCCGCGUGUGUGAAGAAGGCCCUCGGGUUGUAAAGCACUUUCAGUGAGGAAGAACGCCUGGUGGUUUAUACCCAUCAGGAAAGACAUCACUCACAGAAGAAGCACCGGCUAACUCCGUGCCAGCAGCCGCGGUAAUACGGAGGGUGCGAGCGUUAAUCGGAAUUACUGGGCGUAAAGCGCGCGUAGGUGGCUUGAUAAGCCGGUUGUGAAAGCCCCGGGCUCAACCUGGGAACGGCAUCCGGAACUGUCAAGCUAGAGUGCAGGAGAGGAAGGUAGAAUUCCCGGUGUAGCGGUGAAAUGCGUAGAGAUCGGGAGGAAUACCAGUGGCGAAGGCGGCCUUCUGGACUGACACUGACACUGAGGUGCGAAAGCGUGGGUAGCAAACAGGAUUAGAUACCCUUGUAGUC
rnacentral:rRNA from 1 species